rnacentral:rRNA from 1 species
GAGCGUCAAUUGUAACAAGAGGUUCGAUUAUGAAAACCAGAUUGAACGCUGGGCGGGAUGCUUUACAUGCAAGUCGAACGGCAGCACGGACUUCGGUCUGGUGGCGAGUGGCGAACAGGUGAGUAAUGUAUCGGAACGUGCCUAGUGGCGGGGGGAUAAUACAUGGCGUAGCUAAUACCGCAUGCGCCCUUCGAGGAAAGCGGGGGACCUUCCGGAAUGCUAUUAAGGCGGCGAUAUCGGAUUAGCUAGUUGGUGGGAGUAACGGCUCACCAAAGGCGACGAUCCGUAGCUAUUGAUUUAAGAGGACGACCAACCACACUGGGACUGAACUGCGGCCAGACUCCUACGGGAGGCAGCAGUGGGGAAUUUUUUUGGACAAUGAAACCUGAUCCAGCCAUCCCACGUGUGCGAUGAAGGCCUUCGGGUUGUAAAGCACUUUUGGCAGGAAAGAAACGGCACGGGAUAAUACCCCGUGCAACUGACGGUACCUGCAGAAUAAGCACCGGCUAACUACGUGCCAGCAGCCGCGGUAAUGACACGUAGGGUGCAAGCGUUAAAUCGGAAUUACUGGGCGUAAAGCGUGCGCGAACGGUUCCGGAAGAAAGAUAUGUGAAAUCCCAGGCUUAACUUUGGAACUGCAUUUUUAACUACCGAGCUAGAGUGUGUCAGAGGGAGAGUGGAAUUCCACGUCGUAGCAGUGAAAUGCGUAGACUAUGCGGAAGAAUUCCCGAUAGCGACAGCCUCCUGGGAUAACACUGACGCUCAUGCACGGCGGGAGCAAACGGGAUUAGAUACCCUGGUAGUCCACGCCCUAAACGAUGUCAACUAGCUGUUGGGGCCUUCGGGCCUUGGUAGCGCAGCUAACGCGUGAGUUGCCGCCUGGGGGAGAUGCGGUCACCAGAUUAAAACUCAAAAGGGAAUUGACGAGGCCACACAAGCGGUGGAUGAUGUGGAUUAAUUCGUGCAACGCGAAAAACCCUACCCUUGACAUGUCUGGAAUCCCGAAGAGAUUUGGGAGUGCUCACCGAAGAACCGGAACAGGUGCUGCAUGGCUGUCGUCAGCUCGUGUCGUGAGAUGUUGGUUAAGUCCCGCAACGAGCGUAACCGCCGUCAUAGUUGCUACGAAGGGCACUCUAAUGGAGACUGCCAGUGGCAUAAACCGGAGGAAGGUGGGGAUGACGUCAAGUCCCUCUGGCCCUUAUGGGUAGGGCUUCACACGUCAUACAAUGGUCGGGACAGAGGGUCGCCAACCCGCGAGGGAGCCAAUCCCAGAAACCCGAUCUUCAGUCCGGAUCGCAGUCUGCAACUCGUUCCGUAAGUCGGAAUCGCUAGUAAUCGCGGAUCAGCAUGUCGCGGUGAAUACGUUCCCGGUCUUGUACCUGCCGCCCGUCCACCAUGAGUGGGUUUUACCAAAGUAGUUAGCUGUAAGGAGAAGGGCGAUUACCACACGGUAGGAUUCAACGACCUGGGGUGAAGUCGUAACAAAGGUAG